GUACUCUCUUCCGCAGUGCAUAUACUAAAAUUGGAACAUACAGAGAUUAGCAUGGCCCCUGCGCAAGGAUGAUCAGAUGGUUUGGAUGUUUUUUUUUUUU
ensembl:snRNA U6 U6 spliceosomal RNA